CAGUACGGCCAUACCACCCUGAAUUUGCCCAAUCACGUCUGAUCUCGGAAGCUAAGUAGGGUCGGGCCUGGUUAGUACUUGGAUGGGAGAUGGAAAUCUUAUUAAUGUUCUAA
ensembl:rRNA 5S_rRNA 5S ribosomal RNA